UACGUAGGGUGCGAGCGUUGUCCGGAAUUACUGGGCGUAAAGAGCUCGUAGGUGGUUUGUCGCGUUGUCCGUGAAAACUCACAACUCAAUUGUGGGCGUGCGGGCGAUACGGGCAGACUGGAGUACUGCAGGGGAGACUGGAAUUCCUGGUGUAGCGGUGGAAUGCGCAGAUAUCAGGAGGAACACCGGUGGCGAAGGCGGGUCUCUGGGCCGGAACUGACGCUGAGGAGCGAAAGCGUGGGUAGCAAACAGG
rnacentral:rRNA from 1 species